ACGAAAAACACUCCGAUCCGCAAACAAACAGAUGAAGAAGAGGAGGAUGAUGACGGUCCAGCGCAUACAAGGAGAAAGUAACCAAGAGAAGUUUCAUCACAGAAGAAAUGGCAGAAGUUCCUCAGACAGCUGUGAACACUGAGCAGUGCUUGGAGUCAGACAGUAGACUUCAUCUUUAUUAUACUUCUCUGACUGGACUAGCAAGGAGCAGUUCGAGUCCAUGAGAAAAACUCAAAAGAAGAUACUUUGAAGAAUGCUGGUAAUCAAAACCAACAGGUUUGUCACGUGUAGACGACAUAAAGGAAGUAAAUGAUUUUCAUUUUUGGGUAAACUAUCUCUUUAAUUAGGAUGAUACACACUUUAAAUUUCAAUCAUACUGGACACAGCCACUUAAUGUGCUAGAAUUAAAUGGGUAAAUAAUAAUAAGUAAAUAGUCUUUCAAACAACAUGUGCUUUGAUACAAUAUAUAUACAUUUACUUUCAUUCAGUUUGGUGCAUUCAGAUAGACCUUUAGUAAUAGAUACUUGUGCAUUA